GACGAACGCUGGCGGCGUGCUUAACACAUGCAAGUCGAACGGAAAGGCCCUGCUUGCAGGGUACUCGAGUGGCGAACGGGUGAGUAACACGUGGGUGAUCUGCCCUGCACUUCGGGAUAAGCCUGGGAAACUGGGUCUAAUACCGGAUAGGAGCCAUUUUUAGUGUGAUGGUUGGAAAGUUUUUUCGGUGUAGGAUGAGCUCGCGGCCUAUCAGCUUGUUGGUGGGGUAAUGGCCUACCAAGGCGGCGACGGGUAGCCGGCCUGAGAGGGUGGACGGCCACAUUGGGACUGAGAUACGGCCCAGACUCCUACGGGAGGCAGCAGUGGGGAAUAUUGCACAAUGGGCGCAAGCCUGAUGCAGCGACGCCGCGUGGGGGAUGACGGCCUUCGGGUUGUAAACUCCUUUCGCUAGGGACGAAGCUUUUUGUGACGGUACCUAGAUUAGAAGCACCGGCUAACUACGU
rnacentral:rRNA from 1 species